CAUUUAAAGAGUGCGUAAUAGCUCACUAGUCGAGUGACACUGCGCCGAAAAUGUACCGGGGCUAAACAUAUUACCGAAGCUGUGGAUUAUCCGUAAGGAUAAUGGUAGGAGAGCGUUCUAAACGUGUUGAAGCAUGAUCGUAAGGACAUGUGGAAUGUUUAGAAGUGAGAAUGCCGGUGUGAGUAGCGAAAGAUGGGUGAGAAUC
rnacentral:rRNA from 1 species